AGCUUCACGUCCUAGAACCGAGUCUCUUCUCUUUCGUAAAAUAGCCCCAACCAAUGAAUACUAAUUUUUUAAAAUCCCGGAUGCUGCACUGGGGGAAAGGAAGAAAAAGGAAGUUUCUGGAAAGGGACCUAAGGGAGGAGGGAGGGGAAAUACAGAUGAAGUCAUGAGGAUGCCACCCCACCCCGCUUCAGACACAUGCCCUUAAAGAAGAGGAAGAGGCUGGAGUCACAUGUUUGCAGCAUCUGCAUAGCAGGAAAUGGGUCCUCACCGGACACCACUUGCAUCAGAGCUUUGAUGUUGUAGUUCCCAUGCCCUGGAACUGUGGAGAGAGGUCCCUGUUUGUCUGCAUGAGGCAACAUGCUUGCGAGCAGAAGUUGCAACUAAGGAUUUCAGAGGUGCCAACAGGAGGCGCCUAGACCUGCUGGUGGUUGCACUGGCCUUCUGGGAUUCUACUUGCCCUAACUCUCUGCCCUCUUCUCCUUCUCCUUCUCCUCCUCCUCCUCCUCCUCCUCCUCCUCCUCCUGUUUUAGAUUUUUUUUUUUUAUGAGAAAAAUAAACACAUUUUUGGUAGGUCAGCUUCCUGUAGCUUGUAGCCAAGUACAAGCCCUGGAUACAGCAAUGGCUUUAAGUCCUUCAUGUUUCUUUAAAUGGCCUUUAAAUGUAUAGUGGCAGAAGUCUUCAAUCGCAACACUCAGGAACCAGAAGCAGGCAGAUCACUGUGAGUUCAAGGCCAGCUACAUGGUGAGACUGUGUCAGAGUGAGAGAGAGAGAGAGAGAGAGAGAGAGAGAGAGAGAGAGAGAGAGGGUUUUCUUUGAUCAGUAAGCCUGUUCCUCCAUGACAGACAGUGCCUCCUCCAGCACACAGUAAGUUUGUACUAAUGAAAUCUCCCUGGAAACAGAACAUUCUGUUUUAUUGGUUUAUUUACUUAUUCCUGGACAAACAAUACAAAGAUUGGGGGUGUUAAAGCCUCUUCUCUCCCUUCCCCUCUUGCUCCUCCUCUUUAUUUUCUAAGUUGUUAUUUAUUUUUUUCACAGAUAUUUCUGAGUUCUUAGUAAGUACCAGGUCCCAUCCCACACUGUAUGACACAACACUGAACAAAGCAAGCAAGUCCCUGUGUGGCCCUUGGCAGUGCGAGCCACCCUUCAUUGUUCCAUAUUCAUUUUGGAGUCAGUCUGACCAAUUCUUGACAAUUCUAAUGGAAAGAAAAGUUUCAUGAAGUGCUCUGUGGGACUCCAUUGUCUCGAUACACUGUGUUCUGUUUUGUGAAAGAACAUUUGAGCUGUUUCUAGUUUGGGAAUAUUAAAACAUUAUGCUUUUGUGAAUGCUU
rnacentral:lncRNA from 1 species